rnacentral:rRNA from 1 species
CCUACGGGCGUCAUCCUUUUUUCCUCUUUCCCCCUUUUGUCCCCCCUGCUGCCGCGACGCCGCGUGAGUGAAGAAGUAAUUCGUUAUGUAAAGCUCUAUCAGCAGGGAAGAAAAUGACGGUACCUGAGUAAGAAGCCCCGGCUAACUACGUGCCAGCAGCCGCGGUAAUACGUAGGGGGCAAGCGUUAUCCGGAUUUACUGGGUGUAAAGGGAGCGUAGACGGCAGUGCAAGUCUGGAGUGAAAGGCGGGGGCUCAACCCCCGGCCUGCUCUGGAAACUGUACGGCUGGAGUGCAGGAGAGGUAAGUGGAAUUCCUAGUGUAGCGGUGAAAUGCGUAGAUAUUAGGAGGAACACCAGUGGCGAAGGCGGCUUACUGGACUGUAACUGACGUUGAGGCUCGAAAGCGUGGGGAGCAAACAGGAUUAGAUACCCCUGUAGUC